AUGAGGGCCGCCAGGAGGGAAGCGUCACGAAGAUGGAUAGCACCACCAACCGGGAUGGUGAAGCUUAAUGUCGAUGGAGCGGUGGGGCGGCCCAGCCGUGGCGGUGCGGUCGCCGCGGUCUGCAGAGACCACACGGGCCUAUAUCUAAGGUCUUCGGCGGUGGUUUACAAUGGAGUUUUUGAUCCGACGAUCUUGGAAACGUAUGCAUGCAGGGAGGCGUUGGCACUAGCUAGCGAUCUUCAGGUGACACAUAUGAUAAUAGCUUCUGAUUGCAAAGAAGUGGUGAACGACAUAAACCAAGGGACAAGAGUCCGCAUUCAGCAAUCAUCCAGGAAAUCUUGGGACAUAGAAACACUUUCACUUCAGUUUCUUUUGUUCAUGAGCGUAGAAAUUUUCAUUUCGAGGCUCACAAUCUUGCCAAACUAG
rnacentral:rRNA from 1 species